GUUAGGAAUAUUGGACAAUGGGCGAAAGCCUGAUCCAGCCAUGCCGCGUGAACGAUGAAGGCCUUCGGGUUGUAAAGUUCUUUAGCCGAUGAUUAUAAUGACUGUAGUCGGAAAAUAAGCCCCGGCUAACUUCGUGCCAGCAGCCGCGGUAAUACGAAGGGGGCGAGCGUUAUUCGGAAUCACUGGGCGUAAAGCGUGCGUAGGCGGCUUUGCAAGUUGGGAGUGAAAGCCCAGGGCUCAACCCUGGAAUUGCUCUCAAAACUGCAAGGCUCGAAUUCGGGAGAGGAUAGCGGAAUUGUCAGUGUAGCAGUGAAAUGCGUAGAUAUUGACAGGAACACCAGUGGCGUAAGCGGCUAUCUGGACCGAUAUUGACGCUGAGGCACGAAAGCGUGGGGAUCAAACAGGAUUAGAUACCCCUGUAGUCC
rnacentral:rRNA from 1 species